rnacentral:rRNA from 1 species
CUCGUAGUUGGAUUUCUGGCUGGAGCGAUCGGUCCGACACUAUGUGUGGGUACUCGGUGUUGUCUCCGGCCAUCCUUGGGAAUAUCUAGCCUGGCAUUAGGUUGUCGGGCUGGGGAUGCCCAUCGUUUACUGUGAAAAAAUUAGAGUGUUCAAAGCAGGCUUAUGCCGUUGAAUAUAUUAGCAUGGAAUAAUAAAAUAGGACCUUAGUACUAUUUUGUUGGUUUGUGUGCCAAGGUAAUGAUUAAUAGGGACAGUUGGGGGUAUUCGUAUUCAGUUGUCAGAGGUGAAAUUCUUGGAUUUACGGAAGACGAACUACUGCGAAAGCAUUUACCAA